UCCAGGAUUUCCCAGUGAGGCUUCAGGUCACUACCAUUCCCCUGAUGCUGGUGCUAUUAGGAAAACUCUGAAAAGACUGAAGGCCGUGUCUAAGCAAGCCAGUACAAACAGGUUGGCCUGUGAUGAUCCAUGAUCCAUCCUGUGUGCUUUUGUCAUUUGUCAUACCUACACUUGUAGAAGGUUUUUCCCAAUGUCUAACUGAACAUUUUUGCUCUCUGGGUAUAAUGAAUCUUCAUGUGCAAAUUUGACCCUUGAUUUACACUAUGGCAAACGUGUAGCUCUUCCAUUCAGCCUGAUUAUUGUGGCUUAUUUUAAUGUUUAGACAGAACAUACUGUUUAGAAGAUCAUGAGAUAACUAUCUGCCAACAUAUAGUUGUAAUAAUUUUAUCUACUUGAUUUGAAUAAAUCAUAGCAUGAAUUUAAAUAGAAUCACACUUUUCAUAAAGCUCCAAAGCACAUUUAUCUUUUGUCUUUUCCUCAUUCCCACUUUUCUCUUGGUUCUCUUAAAAUGUUUCCUCUUCUCAUUCAUCUCUGAUUUAUAUCUCUUUGUGAUCUUUCAUCAGAUUUUUUUCACUGAAUUAAUUUGAUGGUAAUUGACAAUAGCUUAUAUGUAUGUCCUAAUGGCAUAUCAAUUAUAUUAGCCUCUUACCAUUGACACCUUAAACUGUGUACUGCUACUUUUUGAGGAGUGAUUUGCUUCUCAUUUGUGUUUUUACACUGCUUUACUUUCUAAAUCCUCUCCCCUCUACAUUUCAUUCUACAAGGCAUCCUUAAGUAGGAAGGAGCUUAGUGGAUACUCUAUUGCUUUCUCAUCCCUAGAAGCCCUUUCACUGUUCUACUGUGCCUGUAAACAUGGUGAUUCACUUUCUCAAACUUUCUUUGUCAUUUAGACUACUGCCUAUUUUUAUGGUAUAUCCACCUUGUGAAAUACUUGUAAUCAUCUUUCAAAAUUUUUAAAUUUUUCUUAAAGUAAUAAAUUUGAACAUGGAUAUAGUGUAUGGUGCUCCACCAAUAUCUUGCUACCUCUCAAUGUCUUUACAAAAAGAAAGGAAGGAUAAUCAUCCACCUCUUUGCUAAGGUAAACGACAAGGCUUGACUUAGAGAACUGACUCCCAAUAAAGAGCACCAUGACUGUUCUCCAUCCCUGUCCCUCCCUUAGCCAUGGCUGUGUUAGUGGUCUUGUUCCUGUUCUAUCACAAUUCUUAACCCAUCUGAACUUCUUUGUAUGUUACUCCCCAAUCUAAUUUCCUACUAUCUAUUUGUGGGUCGAAGGCCUAUAAUUCUGUUAAUCUCAGGCCAUGUUUUACUGAUUCUCGGUGCUUUAAAGUAUCUUUGUAUCUGAACUUUUUUUUUUGAGACAGGGUGUCUUAGUCAGUGUUCUGUUGAUGUUAAAAGACACCUUGACCAUGACAACUCUUAUAAAGGAAAACAUUUAAUUGGGGUUGACUUACAGUUUCAGAGGUUUAGUCUAUCAUGGCGGGAAACAAGAGGUCAAACAGACUUGGUACUGGAGAAGUACUAGACAAAUAGCUGAGAGUUGAACAUUUGUAUCUGCAGGAACAGCAAGAGAGAGCCACUGGGCCUGGCUUGGGCCCUUGAAACUUCAAAUCUACCUCCAGUGACACACUUCCUCCUACAAGGCCACAUCUUCUAAUCCUUUCUAAUAGUGCCACUCACUAUGGGCUUGUAGGGGCCAUUUUCUUUCAAACCACCACAGAGGGCUUCUCUACAUAGCCCUAGCUGUUCUGAAACUCACUCUGUAGACCAGGCUGUUCUCAGACUUAGAGAGAUCAGCCUGCCUCAGCCUCCUCUAAGAGCUGGGUUUAAAGAUGUGUGCCACAAUGCUUGGCGACUUUAUCUGAAUUCUUAAUAGAGUUUAAUGGAGAAAAUGAAUAGUAAGUAAAUUAUUUUCUCCUCAUCCCCAUGAGCCUUCUACAAAAGAUGAUAACUUAUGUUAAGUACCAGAGUUAAUCAAACUCUGAUUUUCAUUGGAUAAACUUUAUUUCCCAGAACUGUGUUUCAGCUAUUGUCAUAGUUAGGGUUACUGUUGCUAUGAUGAAACUCCUGACCAAAGCUUACACGUCCAUAGCAUAGUUCAUCAUCAAAAGGAAGGCAGGACAGGAAUUCAGACAGGACAGGCACCUAGAGGCAGAACUGAGGCAGAGGUCAUGAAGGGAUGCAACUUACAUACUUGCUCAGCCUGCUUUGUUAUAGAACCCAGGUUUAGUCCCACCCACAAUGGGCUGGGUCCUCCCCAAUCAAUCACUAAGAAAGUACCUUACAGCCAGAUUUUUUUCCCAAUAUUUUUUAAAUUUAAUUUUAUUUUGUACUUAUUCUCUUUACAUCUAGCUCAUCGCCACCAUCCCAGUCACCCACUUUCACAAUGCUUUCCCCAUCCCCUCCUCCCCUUCUCCUCUGAGUAGGUGUGGGGAGAGGGGGAUACCUGGCACUUCAAGUCUCUGCAAGGCUCUCCCACUGUGGCCAGACAAUGCAGCACAGCUAGAAGAACAUAUUCUACAUAUAGGCAACAGCUUUUAGUGUAGCUCCUAUUCCAGUUGUUAGGGGACCCACAUGAAGACCAAGCUGAACAUCUUCUACAUAUGUGUAGGGAGGCUUAGGUCCUCUUUGGUUUCUGGUUCAGACUCUUGAGAGCCCCAAGAGUUCAGGUCAGUUGAUUCUGUUGGUCUUUCUGUGGAGUUCCUAUCCCCUUUGGUAUAGUCAUCUUUACAUCUUCCAAAGUACACUUUUAAACAUAUUAGGCAGAUAGUGUCAUGUGUACACAAUCAGUGUGAAAAAUCUAAGUCAAGGCUGCUAUACAUGUUUUUAGUGAGGUACUGUUCAAUAAUUCUAGUAGUGUAUGCUAAUUGGUGUGUUUUACUGGCAAACACUGCACAUAGACCACAAUGAUAAAUAUAUUUUACUUCUAUGAUAGUUGAUGUCAGUGUCAUCAUGAUGCUGAGAGAUCGGAGGUUUUAUCUAAUGACAGAUAGUGGUGUAUACUCCAAGACUCUCAGAAAGAACCUUACCAAGUAGUUAUACAUUUCUAAUGUCAUGUCUGAGCAUUGUACUUGAUACUUUAUCUACUGUCUUUGGCUCUAGCUUACAUACACAGGGAGGUUCAGGGCAUAAUGCCAUCUUACGUGGGUAUAUGCAGAGGCAUGCUGAGUUCAGACCAGCUCCCCUUAAUUGAUCUCAGUUUUAUAGUGUGGAAUAUGUCUGCUAGGGGACAGCAUAUGUGCACUUCAGAGACAUGCACAAAUCUCUUGUUAUUAUCAACCUACCCAAGCUAGCAUAGCUUGGGUUUCAGAAAUCUCAUGGGGGACUACAGUAACCAUCUGGAAUAGCUGAACAUCAGAGUAAUUGGCUCUUAAACCAGUUACAGAUAUUACCUAAUCCUAGAAAAUUCCUAUCAUGGGAAUUCUAAAGAAUUUCUCUUAAGUAACAUGUGAGAUGAAGGACUUUAGAUCACUGUCAUUCAUAGAGAUAAAAUAUCGUAGAUUUUUUUCUUUCAAAUAUUUGUGUGUGUGUGUGUAUACACACGUAAGUGUAGGUGCCUGUGAAAGUCAUGUGUGUUACAUCCUCUGGAGUUGGAGUUAGUGGAGGUGUUCAGCCAACUCACAUGGGUACAGGGAAGAGAACUCAGGUCCUCUAUAAAUAAAGUAGCAAGUGCCCUUAGCUUUUGAGCGAUAUCUUUUGCUCUGCAUUUCAAGUUUUUACAGCUACAUUUCUUACUUAAAAUAUUUUUUAUGUUUCAGUUUUUUGCUUUAAAAAAGUUGAAGAAAUGAUUAUUUAUGGAAUGAAAAUUAGAAAUUUUAAAAUGUUUACUGGGAAACAGAAUAGGCAUUAUUUCAUGAUUUCUUAUUUUUCAGAAUAUAGAUCAGUUAGUUAUUUUCC
rnacentral:lncRNA from 1 species